UGGUCUCAGCCAAGUGGUUACCACAACAGACUCGAAAUCUGACCGUGCAGGUUCGAAACCUGCCGAGGACAA